CUCCCACCAUUCCAGCAGAGGAAAGAGAGGGCCAUGCCUGCUUUCCUCCAGUCAAGAUUCAUCCCCUGGGGAUGGGCCUACUUUCUGUGAGCCCAUUUCAUCAGGAGACCAGGACAGCUGACAUUUUAUGUAUUCGUAUUUAUUGUAUUCGGCAUAGAAGAAACAGCUGCUGGGGAAAAGAGCAGCAGUGUUUACAACGGGAGGCAAGAAGUUCAAGCACCAGAAGCCGAAGGACAAAACAGACUGUCCAGUGGAAAAUACAGACAGGAGGGUCGCGGUGCCAGCAAGUGGGGCUGACGUCUCCAAGGAUGAAUUCCGAGGAUUCAGUAUCGUUUGGCCUCGCUGUGCCAGUGGCACACAGACUCACCCGCACAGGAGUGCUGGGAUCCCUCUAGGGAGCACACACUCGCCUGACCAGAUGGGCCGCCCGUUUCCUCUGCUGCCGGACCCUCUGGUGGGAGCCCCCGCCCCCUUCCCAGCAUCUCACCUCCUCUAGCCUUCUCCACAUCUCCUGCAGCCCAUCCCCCUGCACGCCACCUCUCUUUCGCAGACCGCCUGUCCUCCAUCCGCUAUCAGACGCUAUCUGAAGCUGAGACACCAAAGGGAGCCUUUGGAGAGUUAGCAUCCAGGCAGGUUUAACGUCACCAUGGCAACCCCUGGAGCGCCCUACCCCCGACCGACUCUCUGAUGCACCGCUCCGCCCCCCAGGGCCUCAGGGACCCGGCGAAGACUGGGGCGGGGCCAGAUAGGAGGGAGAAGGUGAGGACCAUUCCGCAAUUGGCCCGCGGAGCGCAGCGGUGAAAGCCGCCUGGCGAUUGGUCGGAGGUGCACGUGACGUCACAGAGAGGCGGGGUGACGCACGGGGCGCGUAUACCUGCCGGGCGCCGCUGCGGUGUCGCAGGGAGAGCUGAGCGGAGAGGCGAGAUGGGUGGCUGUCGCCGCUCCUGCUUCUCCUCGCCGCCUCUUCGGCCGCCCUUCUGGCCACCGGCGCCCAUUCUUCCUGACCCGGGCCUCUGGCCCAUACCGUGUACUCCACGUUCAUGUUCGAGGCCACUUUGGCUCCGCUAGGUGGGCUUGCGAGUCCGCGCACCCGCACGCGGCGCCUGGCGCACCCGCUUCGGCGGACGGAGCUGGCCCGACUCCUCGCCUUGGUGUUCCCCUCCCGCAGCAGGAGAUCGGGGGCGCCGAGAACCGGAACGCAGGGGACCCUCAGGCCUCCGGGGCCGCACACCGGCUCCGCACACGCCAGCGUAGCGCCCCCGAAACGCGCCUGGCCUCCAGCUCAGCGCUGAGCAGAGGGCGGCCUCGAACCCGGACUUGGACACUUGUAAACCUUGGAGCAGCAUCGCACGUCGUGUUCCACGAACGACUGUUGCUGACUCAUAGGGAGAUUUCCCGGGAUUCCUGCCCAGGGCCAGCAAACCUCUCAGUGGGCUCCCCGCAGAGUCCAGGGCAGCCACAGACCAGGGGUCACAGGCUCUUGUGUGGUCACCCACCUAGGCACCUUAAAACCAAGGUCCCCUUGGACUCCAGGCCCGGCAAAGGUCAGUCACUAAUGCACACUGGGAUGCCCCUGGCCCCCGCUGAGCCUGACGGCCCUCCAGCUUAUCUGACUGGGCUUGAGUGUCCUCCCGUGGCCGGAAAAGCCCCAUCCCACGGUCCGCCAUUCCGCAACAUAUGCGCAGUUGCAUGUUCUCCAUCCAGGGUCCCCACCUUGGAUGCCCUGCUGAGUAGGAGACUGCCACUCACCAGCACCAAGAGGCCUUUGGGUGCCCCGCAACUUGGGGAACCAAAGUCCAAGGUCUGGCUCAGUCUCCUCCCAGGACAAGGGGCCACCUUCAUAUGCAGCUGAGAGCGCCCUGCGGACCCCUGCCCGCUGCCCACCAAGCUGCCUGCAGUUGAGGCCCCUCUCAGCCAAGGGCCAUCCAGCAGGAGCAGACAGAAGCCCACAGACCCUCAUCUUCUCAUGGACCAUGAAGCUGGGGUCUGCGCCGAGCACUCCCUGGUCAGCAGAGAGCAGCAGUCCCCUCACAUUAAGGGCCCCCCGAAACUCCAUCUGCCUGCACGGCCUCCUUCCAACCUCUCUGCACCUGGCAAUGCCUUUGGCGGGGGGCUGCCCCUGGCCUGCCCUCAGAAUGCCACGUGCGCUCGCCCACCUGUAUUCUCCAGCCCCUUUGUUCCCAAGAUGGGCUCCCCACUCAGCCAAGGGAAACCUCCCUCUCGCAGAGAGGCCCACCUGCAUCUCCACAGCCCUGCAGACCCUCCCUCCAGGCCUUCCAACACUGACCCUUCACCCCCUCAAGGGCAGCGGCUAGCCCCCUGGCAAUCCGAAAUGCUGAAGUGGGGAGCAAAGCUAGCUCUGGCAGAAGGAAGACAACAGAAACAGGAUGCACUUACAAGCAGUUGCUGGGCCACGUCGCAUUAGGGCUCCCAGGGAGAAAAAUGCCAACUUCGGCCCCUAGGCCCGGGAUCCAGGUCCUCACCCAGUCGGGAGCAAUCCGAGACCACUGGCCUAGGCAGGCCUCGGCCUUCCACCGUGGGGGCUGGGUAGGCGGCUGUCUGUGCAGACGUUGGUGGUGGCUGCGUCCCUGGGAGACAGGCUCGGGAAAGCCAGCACCUCGUGGCCGGAGCUUGGAGCCGUGCAGGGUGUAGUCCCCUGGUGGGUCUCUGCCGAGGCGCUGAUGGGCCGCGGGCCUGGAGACCUCUGGCCUAGGACCAGGUUUAGCCGGCUCUUCUGGUGCUGUGUCACCUGGGGUGUCUUGGUUUUCUGGAGAGUUCUCUCCAGCGGGUGAGAGGGAUUCCCUGCCUUAGAACAGGAGGAGCUGGAAGAGCUGCCGAACUGGACUGAAACUCAUGGAUAAAGCUUUGUAUGAGUUUGACAGGAAACUUAAAUCUGCGAAGACAGCUUUUCACAGAAAGAGGGACAUUAUUAAAAUCUGUCCAGGGAAGUGUCUGAACUGAAGGAAUUGCUCAGAAUGUCUGAAGAAAACAACCAAAGGUGGAAACAUCUGUUUCAGCUGUUCCGGGAAGGACAGGUGUCCCUGCACGUGGCUGACGCUGAGCAGGGCACCCGUGGCCAUGUCCCAGGAGAGCCCCAGGCCCCACGCACAGAGAACUUGUUGGCUGAGCUGGGGCUGCUCCGGGACAGGUUGUCCCACCUGGAGGGGGAGGUGGAGGCGCUACAAGGACACGCCUAGCACCUGGGGCCCCAGGAGGCGCGGGUUCGAGAGCUGGAGGCACCUUCCUCAACUUUCGGGGCUUCCUGGAAGCCUGACAGGUUCACAGUACGAAGGCCGGUCGUCUGAGUACCCCGCAACCCCGGGAAGGGGGCCUGGAAGCGGGGGCGGAGCUGGCCUGAACUUCACCAUGUGUAUGAGUUCUGAAUAGUAGUGUCGGAAGACAGUGUCCCCUGAUGGUGGCUCCGGGAUGGAGGACCGCUCCACCCACACGUGUCCUCGCCCUCCAGCCAGCCGGGUCUGAACUGCAGAUCGCCCAGGCUAACGGCCAGCGCUGGGUGCCACUCUGACGGGAGGGAAACCAGCAGAGGGGGGCCGCCCAUUUCCUCCGCUGCCCCGACCCUCUGGUUGGAGCCCCCGCCUCCUUCCCAGUAUCUCACCUCCUCUAUCCUCCACAUCUCCUGCAGCCCAUCCCCCUGCACACCGCCUCUCUUUCGCGGACCGCCUGUCCUCCAUCCGCUAUCAGACGCUAUCGGAAGCUGAGAGACCAACGCCGCUGCGGUGUCGCAGGGAGAGCCGAGCGGAGAGGCGAGAUCGCGGGCUAUUGCCGCUCCUGCUUCUCCUCGCCGCCUCUUCGGCCGCCCUUCUGGCCACCGGCGCCCAUUCUUCCUGACCCGGGCCUCUGGCCCAUACCGUGUACUCCACGUUCAUGUUCGAGGCCACUUUGGCUCCGCUAGGUGGGCUUGCGAGUCCGCGCACCCGCACGCGGCGCCUGGCGCACCCGCUUCGGCGGACGGAGCUGGCCCGACUCCUCGCCUUGGUGUUCCCCUCCCGCAGCAGGAGAUCGGGGGCGCCGAGAACCGGAACGCAGGGGACCCUCAGGCCUCCGGGGCCCCACACCGGCUCCGCACACGCCAGCGUAGCGCCCCCGAAACGCGCCUGGCCUCCAGCUCAGCGCUGAGCAGAGGGCGGCCUCGAACCCGGACUUGGACACUUGUAAACCUUGGAGCAGCAUCGCACGUCGUGUUCCACGAACGACUGUUGCUGACUCAUAGGGAGAUUUCCCGGGAUUCCUGCCCAGGGCCAGCAAACCUCUCAGUGGGCUCCCCGCAGAGUCCAGGGCAGCCACAGACCAGGGGUCACAGGCUCUUGUGUGGUCACCCACCUAGGGACCUUAAAACCAAAGUCCCCUUGGACUCCAGCCCCUUGGAGCUGGCCCGACUCCUCGCCUUGGUGUAUUCCUGUAUCUUUAAGAAUUUUCCACAAUUUGUAGUGAUUCACA
ensembl:lncRNA